CUUCAAACGGAAUUCAGAAAUCCUUUUCCGGAAAAUAGCGUGUUUGGUAGGUCCGGAAAAUUAGGUCAAACUGAAAAUAUUUUCAGUUUGACCGUAAAAUAAGGCUUCUGGGGCGGAAAAUCAUUUCAGUCCUCAUUUUCACUUCAAACAUUUUCCAUUCUGCUCUCUCACACGCACUCGACACACACAGAGCUCUCCAAGCUUCGAUCCACACACCGAGCGAAGAAGCUCCAAGCUCCGAGCUCCAAGCCCCGAUCCACACACCGAGCUCCACCAUCUCCCUCACGCCAAACGCUCAAGCCCAUCUCCCUCACGCAGCUGAUCCUCUCCACGCACGAUGAAGAAAAAAACCAAAGCCGCAAUUCUUGCCUCAGUUGCAUCUGUCCUCCUUGUGGGGGUUGCAUUGUUAAAGAAAUUACGACGUAGACGUAGAGAACUGCCUAGGGCGCCUUAUGUUAACCAUGCCGCCGAGAGAGAGGAAUACAUAAAUAGUGUUUUGCAUGGAAGUGAGAGACAUUGUGUGAAUCAACUUAGGAUGAAGCCUAUAGCUUUCCACCACUUAUGUCACACCCUCACUGAGGGGGAGCACGUACGUCCGACUGUUCACAUGUCUGUUACGGAGCAAGUGUUCAUUUUCUUGCACAUUAUUGGUCAUAAUGUGAGGUUUCGUGUAAUGGGUAGUCGGAUCUAUAGAUCAACUGAGACUGUUCAUAGAUACUUCAAGAUUGUCCUUAGGGGGGUCCUGAAAUUAUAUAGAGCUCUAAUAAGACUGCGUAGCGAAGAUACACCUCCAGAGAUAAGGAAUAGCAGAAGGUUUUACCCAUAUUUUAAGGAUUGUGUUGGAGCAAUAGAUGGUACACAUGUUCGUGCAUCUGUGCCACCUGAAAUACAAGGAAGAUUUCGUGGUCGCAAAGAUGGAACCACGCAAAAUGUGUUAGCUGCCAUUAGUUUUGACUUAAAGUUCACCUAUGUGUUGGCUGGAUGGGAAGGCAGUGCACAUGAUUCACGUGUAUUAAAUGAUGCAUUUGCUAGGACAGGGGGAUUUUCAAUUCCCAAUGGUAAAUUUUAUCUUGGUGAUGCUGGGUAUGGUAAUAAAAAUGGAAUAUUGUCACCGUAUCGGAGUGUACGAUAUCACUUGAAAGAGUUUAGUGAUCGUCCUCCUGAGAAUGCGCAAGAAUUGUUCAACCUCCGACACUCUUCAUUGAGAACUACCAUUGAGCGAGGGUUUGGAGUGGUGAAAAAACGUUUUCGAGUGUUGGAUGCAGAACCAUAUUGGUCUUUCCCAACCCAAGUGAAAGUAGUGUUAGCGUGUUGUGUGGUUCAUAAUCACAUUAUGGGGGUUGAACCAAAUGACCAUAUUAUGGAAGAUGCAAUGAACCAAGUAGAGCUUAGUGACCACCAACAAGAAACACAAUCCCAUCGGGAGUCCGUCGAAGAUAGUAGAUCAUGGAAUGCUAAGAGAGAUGAGAUAUGCCAAGCCAUGUGGUCUGAUUAUAUCAGGAGUGAAGAGUAGUAUUUUAUUUAGAUUUCUAUGAUUGUAAUGUGUUUUUCCUUGUUGUUUUUUUGUAAAGACAAUGUAUGUAAUAUAGACUUUUGGUGAUGUAAUGAAAAAGAAUUUUUAGCAUUACAUUGUUAUUUGAUGGUAUUACAUUGUCAUUUCCAUAGUUAGCAUGUUCCAUUCUGUUGUACACAUUCAUAAGCGUGGUUGUAUGUGUGUUUGAUUUGUUAUUCAUGUUCCGAGCGUAAUUACUAAAUGCUACUCUGACUAUACUAUUUUCAUAUGUAGUAAUGUCAAAGGGGAAAGAAAAAGUUGGUGGCGGCAAGCAAUUUAGGUGGCUGCCACCUAUGCAUGAGAUGAUGCUAAAGAUACUUACAGAGGAGGCUGGAAAGGGCAAUAAGCCCUCUAAUACUUUUAGGGCCGGCUCCUUUGCUCUUGUAGCCAAGGAGAUAACGGCCCAUUUCGGGGUUGAGUGCCACCCUGUAUUUGUGGAGAACCGGAUGCGGACUCUAAGGUCCAUGUGGACAACUAUUCAAGAGCUUAGAAGGAAGAGUGGAUUCGGUUGGGACGAAAAUCUGAAAAUGAUAACUUGUGACGCAAAAACAUACCAAGAAGAAGUUAUGGCACAUCGGAAGCAUGCCGAGUAUCUGAACAAAAAAAUUGAGUUUUACGAUGAAUUAGCGAUUGUGGUGGGAAAGGACAUAGCCACAGGUGGCUUUGCUAAGUCCGGAGUGGAUAUCGAAAAUGAGCCAGAUAAUGGGGAUAAUGGGGAUAGUGCAGACUUUGUCGCAGAUAAUGUGGAGGAAUGUGUGGUUGAAAAGGGGAAGAACGCAAAGGAAUCAUCCACCACUGGGUCGGGAAUUUCCAAGUCCCGCAAAAGAGGGCGUGCAGCUUCUACUGUUGAUGAUAGUGUGCUGACUGAUCUGUCUGAUCAGCUGAAGGAAAUAGCUGGCGCUCUGAAAGAAAUUAAUCGGGGCCCGGUAGAUUAUACAACUUUGUAUAAUGAGGUAAUGGCUAUGAUGGCGGAGGGAUAUAGCGAAGAUAUGCUCGCUACUGCCUUCGACCAUCUUUGUGAGAAUGAGAAGACGGCACGUGGAUUUUUAGCCAAGAAUGCUAGGUUGAGGAAGCUAUGGUUAGAUGGUUAUUUUUUCUCACAAAUUUGAUUUGCUUAUUUCAUGUUGACUGUGAUGGUAGAUUUAGGAAUUAACUUAUGUUGUAGUAUUAAUAUUGACCUAUCAAUGUAUUAUAUAUGUACUCUUUUGUAUUAUUGGGACGAUAUAAUUGCCCAAAUUAUGUAUUUGUACUGUUCAGAUACCACAAAUAGGUAUCAUUUUUGUAUGCCAUUGAGGUGUAAUGCCAAUGGUGAACGAUU